rnacentral:rRNA from 1 species
AGACCCGAAACCCGGUGAUCUAGCCAUGGGCAGGUUGAAGGUUGGGUAACACUAACUGGAGGACCGAACCGACUAAUGUUGAAAAAUUAGCGGAUGACCUGUGGCUGGGGGUGAAAGGCCAAUCAAACCGGGAGAUAGCUGGUUCUCCCCGAAAGCUAUUUAGGUAGCGCCUCGUGAAUUCAUCUCCGGGGGUAGAGCACUGUUUCGGCUAGGGGGCCAUCCCGGCUUACCAACCCGAUGCAAACUGCGAAUACCGGAGAAUGUUAUCACGGGAGACACACGGCGGGUGCUAACGUCCGUCGUGAAGAGGGAAACAACCCAGACCGCCAGCUAAGGUCCCAAAGUCAUGGUUAAGUGGGAAACGAUGUGGGAAGGCCCAGACAGCCAGGAUGUUGGCUUAGAAGCAGCCAUCAUUUAAAGAAAGCGUAAUAGCUCACUGGUCGAGUCGGCCUGCGCGGAAGAUGUAACGGGGCUAAACCAUGCACCGAAGCUGCGGCAGCGAACGUAUCACUUAAAGCGAUUCAGCGGGUUACGAUUGACGGAGCGAAGCGACGUCAAAGCGUAUACAAAGUCGAGUCGGUUUAAGGAUACGUUCGUUGGGUAGGGGAGCGUUCUGUAAGCCUGUGAAGGUGGCCUGUGAGGGUUGCUGGAGGUAUCAGAAGUGCGAAUGCUGACAUAAGUAACGAUAAAGCGGGUGAAAAGCCCGCUCGCCGGAAGACCAAGGGUUCCUGUCCAACGUUAAUCGGGGCAGGGUGAGUCGACCCCUAAGGCGAGGCCGAAAGGCGUAGUCGAUGGGAAACGGGUUAAUAUUCCCGUACUUGGUGUUACUGCGAAGGGGGGACGGAGAAGGCUAUGUUGGCCGGGCGACGGUUGUCCCGGUUUAAGCGUGUAGGUGUGUGUUCCAGGUAAAUCCGGUUCACUUUAACACUGAGGCGUGAUGACGAGGCACUACGGUGCUGAAGUAACAAAUGCCCUGCUUCCAGGAAAAGCCUCUAAGCAUCAGGUAACAUCAAAUCGUACCCCAAACCGACACAGGUGGUCAGGUAGAGAAUACCAAGGCGCUUGAGAGAACUCGGGUGAAGGAACUAGGCAAAAUGGUGCCGUAACUUCGGGAGAAGGCACGCUGACACGUAGGUGAAGUGAUUUACUCACGGAGCUGAAGUCAGUCGAAGAUACCAGCUGGCUGCAACUGUUUAUUAAAAACACAGCACUGUGCAAACACGAAAGUGGACGUAUACGGUGUGACGCCUGCCCGGUGCCGGAAGGUUAAUUGAUGGGGUCAGCGCAAGCGAAGCUCCUGAUCGAAGCCCCGGUAAACGGCGGCCGUAACUAUAACGGUCCUAAGGUAGCGAAAUUCCUUGUCGGGUAAGUUCCGACCUGCACGAAUGGCGUAAUGAUGGCCAGGCUGUCUCCACCCGAGACUCAGUGAAAUUGAACUCGCUGUGAAGAUGCAGUGUACCCGCGGCAAGACGGAAAGACCCCGUGAACCUUUACUAUAGCUUGACACUGAACAUUGAGCCUUGAUGUGUAG